CUAGUGUUAAGAGUUUUUUGGGUUUCUUUCCAAACAAGUGUUGGCACAUCCCCCUAUGGAAGGAAACACAGUGCGGUGCUAAGAUUCUAGGCUCUGGAGCCAGCCUGCCUGGUUCCGAUGAUCACUCUUAGUCCCCACUAGCUUUGUGAGCUUACCCUGGUUAUAUAACCUCCCUAUGCCUCAGUUUUCCUAUAUGUAAAAUGGACUUCCACCCCGUAGGGUUCUUAUGAGGAUUAAAUGAGGUAAUAUAAGGAAGCACUCCAAGAGCCUGGCAUAUAGCAUUAUUUUUAUAGAGAAUCCCUUAAAAAAAUGAUAAAGAAGGAUAUUAUAAUACUGCUUUGCAGCAUGACUUUUCUCACUUACUAAAGAAUCUUGCACAUCUUUCCACAUCAGUAACCAUAAAUCUACCUCAUUGCUUUUGAUGCUGCGUGGCGCUGUAUGGUAUGGAUGUACUGUAAUUUAUUUAACCACUCUCCUAUUUAUGGGCGUUUAGGUUUUUCCAGUUUUUCACUCCUACAAACAAUCCUGCAGUGGCUAUCUCUGUGUACUUUAAGUGUUUCUGUAAGGCAAACUCCUACAAAUCUCAUUUCUGGUAUAAGAGAGAGUCCUACCAUAGAUUUACUGUUUUCUUCUUUUUCAGGGAAAGCAUCCGGCAGCUGUGCUCGCCCUGAAGCACAUCUCCAGGGGCACAUCUUAAAUCUGCAGCUGUGCACAGGCUGCUCUGCCAUGAAUCAAAGAGACAAGAACAGCUUCACCAAUUGAAGCCCUCAAGACAAACGAGCCCAGGAAAGAAAUCUCAUCAGAAAAAUAGAGGAAGUUUUCAUGGAGUUGUUAUGAGGUGGAAACUUUUAAUGAAUCCUGUUGUAUUGUUUACCAAGUUAAGAUCCUCUCAGAUGUCAGGAGAUAGAUGCGUAGAUGUCAGCUCAUAAAGUAGAGCUCCGUUGUGAGAGCAGAAAUACGAGAAGCUGGAAUCUCUCCAUGCUAAGAGCUAACGAAGGAGGCUGGAGAUAAGUUGGAAGAAACACUGGUUACCAAGUGGGAUAGCAAUUGUUUUUUGCUCAAUCAAAUAUUUAUGAGACUGGGAUUUGACUACCCGUGGCUUAACAAUUCAAGGGAAAGAUAAUUUUCUAGAGAAACCCAAAGUGUUGGAGUAAUUCAAGAUAACUAUACCUUGUAUGAAAAUAAUUAACCACUAGAACUUGGAAUGUAUGCAAAUUGUGAUGAGUUAAAAGAUGUUUUGAGGGGUUGGCCUGGUGGCGCAGCAGUUAAGUUUGCAGGUUCCGCUUCUCGGCAGCCCCGGGUUCGCUGGUUCGGAUCCCUGGUGCAGACAUGGCACCACUUGGCAAAAGCCAUGCUGUGGUAGGAGUCCCACGUAUAAAGUAGAGGAAAAUGGGCAUGGAUGUUAGCUCAGGGCCAGUCUUCUUCAGCAAAAAGAGGAGGAUUGGCAGUAGUUAGCUCAGGGCUAAUCUUCCUCAAAAAAAAAAAUUUUUGCAAUGUGAAGGCAUUAUAGUGUAACAUGUUGGAAAGAUUAAAAUGUAUCCUGUUGUCACAGGCAUCAUUCCCUCCCUUGUCAAUACAGAACAUUUGGUCUUGAUUUUUGAAUUUACUAACAUUUAUUGAAUGCCUACCAUGUAUCAGAUGCUUUUAUAUUGGUUUUAAAAAUUUUAAUAUCAUAAGAACCAUUAAGGUAUAUAUUCUUACUUCAUUCUAUGAAAGAGGAGACUGACCCUCAAUGAAGUUAAAAGGUGCUCAAGGACACAGAACUAGGAAGGGCAAACUUUGGUUUGGUACUCAGGUCUGUACGACACCAAAAUCCACAAUCUUCCCCUCAUAUCCCUCUGCCGUUCAGGCAUUCCUAAACUAAAAUUUCUGGCCCAAAAGGGGUUAUGGAGAAUUGGUUUGAGGUCUAUAGUCUUAGUGGAACAAAGAAAGCAAUGUAUUAUUUUGAGUAAGGAUAAAAUAAAGGAAGUCAAGAUCAUUCA
rnacentral:lncRNA from 1 species